rnacentral:lncRNA from 1 species
UGGUAUUAACCUUUUUGACGUAGUGAUUAUACAUUUAGUACGUACAAGCACCAUCGUACUUCAUUCAUCGGUCCUUUACUGGUGGAGUAAUGAUUAUACAUUUAUUAGUACAAGCACCAUCCUACUUCAUGUCCCUGUCCUUUAGUUCACCACCACACCAGGUGAAGCAAGAGCAAUAUAAAGUGGAGGAGACGGAGCAGCCCUUUAGUUCGUCACCACUAACCACCCAAAGAGCAACAACAUACAACAUGCCGGAGAAAGAGAGGGUAAGGUGCAGAUACGUACGAAGAGGGAGAGGGGCAGAGGCAUGAAUAAAUCACCGUAUAGCUAGCUUGGAAUGAAAGGUUACAGGAAUUAGGCUAAUAUACAUUGUUUCCAAUCUACUCACAUCUUUUUGCAUACUAGCUAGCAGGGUGAAGAUGCAUUCCUUGGGUUGGGCAAUAAGGGAGUGGAUAGUCCAUAGCUACUAGCCACCACCAUCCUUCAAGUUGAGACGGGAGGACGUACUGUCACGUUGAGAUCGAGCUGACCCCAAAGACAAAAUAUAACAGAGAAGAGGAGGUCCAAACUGACCUUGAGGCCAUAAGUAAAUGCUAAUCCUAACUAGGAUAGAAUGAGAAAGAUGUCCUGUGCCACACGU